AAUCAGUAGCUUGCUACUGUGCUGGGGGGGAUGGGAAAGUCCUGGCUGAAAAGUCAGCGUAUCGGUACCUGCACCCCUAUCAUACCCUUGUCUUUUGAGUACUUAUGUUUCCUUGGUAGGCUUGCCUGCCAGUUGGACAAACUUUAAACCUUUUUAUAUAUAAAUCAGCGUCUGAAAAUAAUUAAUAAUUACAACUUUCAACAACGGAUCUCUUGGUUCU
rnacentral:misc_RNA from 1 species